CCAUGGGCUCAUGUUUGUUGACGCAUUGAGACAUUAAUUAACAUGGGAGAAGCACCCUCCUCUCUGCAGCAUUCACGAACAGGGACUUUUUUCUAACUCAUGUGUUCAAUAUGCUUUUCUGUAUCAAUUCUAUCUGGGUUCUUUUAUUUUUAAAACACUAAUCCCAGUCCUCUUUUGCAGCACCUUGCUUCCAAUGCCAAGUUCUUAGCAAAGUAAGCCUCAUUGCAAGCAUUGUUUAAAGGAAAGAAAUGUAAAUAAAUUUUUUUUAAUCGAUUUUUAUCCUUAAAAAACGGGUAAUUCUGACGUCUUAAAUACUAUGAGAAGUAAUUUAUGUAAGUGAAAAACUGCUGUUUAGGCACAAAGAGAAUAACAAUGCCGCUUUAGCUGCAUAACUGAGGGUUAAAUUGAACACAGCACUGCUAAAGGAAGAUUGACCAGGAAACCAGUUUGAUGCCAGGCACACUGGUCUGGGUGCUCCAUAGCCAUUCAGAAUUGUUCUCAAGGAGACCUGGCAGAACUGGUGCUCAAGGAGAUGAAGACUCCCAUAACUUUUUUCCAGCCUACAUGGUCAACUGAGAGAGCAGACCUCUCCAUCAGCUGUUCCUUCUCUACUUCCCUCACUGAGCAACUCUGCAGCUCUUCAGAGUACAGGAAGAGGGGUUUACCCUUUGAUAGCAUCAUCUGCCACCAGCUCAGAAGCCAGUCUCCUGGAUUUUGGGCAGCCUAGACACAAUGAGUAUUGUCUGUUGAAUCAAAACCUUGUAAUAUACUAUUAAGCAGGUUUGUAGUGGGUACCCCAAAUUAAUAAAAAUGUGUGCCCUAAGAAAUUUGUCUGCAACUGUGAAACACAAAACUUUUCUCUAAAGACUGUUCAUCUGGGAUGACUGCAAGCAGCCAUUCUGAUCCCAUCAUCUCUGUGUUUGUCUUAUUCAAUAAAUGAGACUGUAGGAAAAGAAAAUGAUUGCUUUAUCUUUGUAUUUUAAGAAAAGUUAAGUCAAUUUGCUAGUGAAUUGAAGUCUAGUAUAAAUGUAUGCUAGAGGAUAGGAGAAACUAUGUACAGAGUCCUCCUGAAAGAGAAAUAUUUCAUAGGAAAACAGAGGGGUUGGGAAUGGGGGGACUGGACUAAAUGACUCGUGAGAUCAUUUAGUCCAGCCCUGUAAUCAAAGCAGGAUCAUCCCCCAACUAAAUCAUCCCAGUCACGUGGCUAACCUUCUCUUAAAUUUUCAGGGAUGGAGAUUCCAUAAGUGUCACAAUCCAGUUCUACUAUUUUACCCCCCCCUUGCCCCACCCCCAUCAGACAAUUCAUCCAAAUCUCAAACCUAAAUUGCCUCUCCUGAACUUAGGGUCAUUACUCCUAGUCCUAGUCCUGUUUUACUGAGAAAUACCUCUGUCCCCUUUUUAUAAUUGCCCUUUAGGUGUUUGAAGACUGAUAGUAAAUCCUGUCUCAGUUUUCUGUUCUCCAGACUAAAAAACCCUAGUUCUUUCAGCUUUUCCUUAUUAAGUCUUGUUUCCCAGGCCUUUAAUGAUGUUUGUUACUCUCCACCAGACUCUUUCCAACCUGUCCAUGUCUUUCUUGAAGUGUGGAACUGAAAACUGGACACAGUACUCCAAGAAGACUUCAACAGUGCCAAAUAGAAAAAUCACUUUUCUUGGUCCGCAAAAGACCCUUCUGUUAAUAUAACCCAAUAUUCUGUUGGUGGUUUUCACAAUAAAAGCAUAUUGUUGCCUCAUUUUGGACAAUGCAAAUAAAGAUUGAAUGGAAUAGCUUUC